UUUUUUUUUUUUCCAUACCUCACACAACUUCUCAAGUCACCAGCUUAGUCCAGUUUGGUGGUCCUGUGUGUAUAAUGUCUGCUGUGAAAUGUCAAGAUGGCUGCAAAACCUGAGCUGCUUCUGGAAAUCGUAUUUCAGGCCUCAUUUGUGAAUAAUCAGUGUUUAUGUGAACAGUCAUGCUUCUGUGUCUCACCUGGAAGGCCAGAGGAUUAGCAACAGUAGAAUGCUAUGGGAUUUGUCAGAGUAAAAGUCUCGACAUGACUUUCUUAUUAGUAGGCUAUGUCUUUCAUAGUGCAUUUAAACAAAAUUACUUUUGAAAAAAGCUGACGAGCAGGUUUUUACAAGUAGUGAACCAGAAAUAUUGAUUUAGCGUUGUCGUGGUUAUCUUAGUGAUCUUCUUUUCAAAUAUUUACUCCCUGAAACUGAUCUGAAUUUAGGAGUGUAAAGAAAUACUACUAUUCAAAAAAACCUUUGUGUUUCAUAUGAAAAAACCCCAAACCUCCAACUAGCAAGUAAAGUAGUAAACACUAGUAACAUAUCCUUGACAUGAGAUGGUGACAUCUGUAAAAACUACAGUGACUUUUUGUGACAUUGCAGGACUUAUGAUGUAUCAGAAUAUUUCUUUGCAGUAGCAAAAAAUCCUUUGACUCUUUCACAGAAGUCAUUUGUUACCUGCUUGUACACAUGUAAAUCUGAAUCUGCAGGCAUUUGAACACAACUGUGUGUUAAGCUGGAAACAAGUAAAGCUUUGGACUUCAUCUGCUCCACACACCCCCCCCGCCCCCCGCCUCUGCCCAGCAGACAGUCGUCUUGCCUAGAAAUCACUUCGCUGUUUCAGGCUUCUAGCAACUGUUCUGGACCGUUCUGAAAUCACUUUGCAGGCAAUGUUUGACUGGCUCAUUGGUAUAAUCUUGCUAUUAUCAGUAGAUUAAAUUAUCGAUCCCCAUUUUCUUACAACCAGUGUGUCAAACUGCUAGAUGAAAAUUAGAGUGAAGGCUCGGAUAUUCUGGGUUUGUGGUUGUAACAGAUCCUUGUUCCUGAAGCUGGUGCACAGCUGAGGCCUCUGCAGUGGAUGGGCAGGCUGCCAGGAGGAGGGGCAUGCAUGCCUGUAGAUGCAACAGGCCCUUCUUCGUUUUACAAUGUGAUGCUUACCAGGGCUUGUACCCCUACACGUUGUGGGUUUACACACCCUCCUAAACACAGCUAAGACUGUUCUAGGCUGGCUGAAUAUGUAUACAUAUAUGUACCUGUGUAUACAGACACACAGAAGUGAGCACAAAUACAUAUAAGCAUAUGAGUGGGCUAAUAACUGUAGGAACUGACUAACAACCAGGACUCGGGGGGGGGAAUAGAGAAAGAAAAAAGAGAAUUAUAAGAAAAAAGAUGUCUGUAUAUAACUGUAUGUGAAAUAAUAUCAAAAAGCUAGGGGACUAGGGAACUUUCUCCAUCCUUUUGGGGUAGGAUUGCAGAUUACCAGGUACAUCUCCAUACAACAAGACAGGCAUUGUGAGACCCAGCACAGGUUUCAGUCCAUUUUAUUUAUAAUGAAAUGUUAAGAAAAUUCAAAGGGAACAGUUGCUUCUCUUGUGAGGCUUUAUAGCACCUUAAGAUCUUAAACUGUAAUAAAAUAUGCUUCAGUCAGCUCAGAGUGGAAAAGUGCCAGAAUGGAUUUAAAAUACUUCAGCCAAAAGGUAAUCCAGCUAGCUGGUGGUCACAUCUUCAAUUUCAUAUAUAGCAGGCUUAAGGCUGCUCUACUUUACGACAUCUAUUCUUAGUACCCCUUGUCCUGCCUGAUGGGGUAGUGGCAUCAGCUAGCCUCAGCCAUACCCUCUUUGUACAGAUAGAACCAUACAGAGUGAAAUGAAGCAGAGAAAAAGGUGUUAGCAGCUAAUGUCUUGCACCACAUGGUGAUGCCUCUAGGACAAAAACAGCUGCAGAAAAUCAGGGUUCUGUAAGUAUUUAAAUUACUACACCUGCAAGGCAAGCCUCCUCACAUUUGUGAUUUUCAGUUAUUCCAUCUCCGAUACAUUUAUAUUAUUAAUUACCUAUAUACAUGCCUUGUGAACACAUUCAAUUAGAAAGUUGUCCUGCACUGCACCAGCUACUAAGAAGGAGAAAAAUGACUGCUAUAGCUGAACCCAGGACAAAAAUGCACAGCAGUUAUAUUACUGUCUUAACUACCUACUGUAGGAUUCAGCAAAAUCAUACUGUGAUUCAGGGCCAGCGUGCCAAUACUUGUACUACAAUUCUUUCUAAUCCCCAGCAAUAAGGGGUUUUCUGAAGGUGCUUAUGGCAGAUGAGUACUUCCCUGUCCUGCAACUCUGAGCAGCCAACUUGUCCUGUGAAACCAUAGGCACCUGAGUAUUCAGGCAUAAUUCAAAUCACUGAAAAGUCCUUUUCAUCCCCUUCUAAGCCUCAGCAGCUACUCUAUGCAGAUCUGAGCUAAGGUGCAGUCUGAGCAUUUGAACAUCUGGAUGAUCUAAGAGCUGUUUUUACAGAGCUAUUAUAUGUCUCUCUCUAGAAUGACCAAUAUGUAUGUGUGUGUGUAUAUUUCUAUUUAUUUUUUAAUAUAUAUUUAUAUAGGUGUAUAUAUAUACACAAAUACAUAUAUACAUAUAUGUACGUGUACAUGUAUGUAUGUGUGCACACAUGAAUGUAUACAUAUGUUUAUUCACAUAUACGUGGAUGUAUACAUGGAUGCGUGCUCAUAUAUGUGUGUCUACGCAUGAGAGAGAGGAAGUGCUUGGGUUUCUAAAAUCAUGUAUUUGUGACUAAAUGCACAAUGCUUGUGCUGACCCUUGAAGUUUCACAAAGAUGUACAACCCAGCAUGAAUGAAGAAACAGAGCUUGCCUUUGUGCGUUGUGCUCUGUUUGAAGAGACACUCCUGUGCCUACUGUUUGUAAUAGUCAGCUCUCAGAGUUUUUUACAUGCCAUAAAAUGGAGAUUUCUGAUCUUUGCCACACAUUUUGUGCAAGUUUUGUUUGCUAAGUGAGAUCUUCGGAAGGGUGAUAAUUAAGUACUCUUGCAUGGUUGCUUCCUAGUUUAAUUACUGUGCAUUUGCUUAAAUGACUCCAGGUGAUUUGUUUCUUGCUAUCUAAGUCUAAUUAAGAAAGAAUAACCAAUAACCUCCUGGGUUUUUCAUUCAGUUUUUGUUUUCAGAACUUCAGUAAAGGGUUGAGGGAGGAGGGAGGAACCUGGAGCUGGAGACAUCUAGGUACCCCACCUGUGUUUUCAGUAAUAUGUCACAGAACGGCAGACUCAGGGAGGCUGGGAGGGACAGUGGGUCCCUCAAGGCAGGCUCAGCCAUGGUCUCAGAGCAGGCUGCUCAGGUCUUCACCUAGUCAGGGUGUGAAACCCCCAAUGCAGGAGACAGCCCAACCUCCCUGGGCCUCAGCCUCACUGCUGGGAUGUCCUCAUGAGGAAAAGGCUUUUCCUCAUCUCCAGCAUGAGCUUCUCAUAUUUCAACUUGUGCUGCUGCUACCUGUUGCCCUCCCACCACGUACCACUGUGUAGAGUCCAGCUGCAUCUCCUCCAUCCCCUCCUGUCAGUGCCAGGGAUGCUGUUGGGUGCCCUCAGAGCCAUCCCUUCUCCCAGCUGAACCAGCCCUGGUCCUGCAGCCUCUUCUCACACGACAAGGACCCCCUCACCUUGGUGGCUUUACGGCACCUAUAGCCGUUGGUGUGUCCUUCCUCUACUGUGCAAUCGAAACCAGACACAGACCAUCUACUGAAACCAUGACCUUGUCUUCAUUCUGCUUGACUCCUCCCAUACACUUUGAAAAAAAAAGUUUAACAUGCUAAAGUGUUAUGUUGUUCCUUUUUUCUGUUAUCUUUGUUUCAUGUUCGUAUGUUUGCUAGUGUUUUCUCAAACCUUGCCUGCUUAUAAGCACUAAAGAAUUCAUGCGGAACAAGCAGUUAAACAGAAGUCUGUCAGGACCUAAUGCACAAACUUUAGUUCUGUAGUUUCCUAAAGCUAGAAACUUUAGGCAGAUUCAGAGGUCUCUGAAAAUCAAUAUGCAUUUUUCCUCUUUUGAUUCUGUCUGCCAUUUCCUAGAUAUUUCCCUCCUUCAUGUUUUUGUUUAAUUUGUCCAGAGAUUAUUCCUUUGAACAUUUUCUUCCAAGCGCUUAUUCUCUCUCCGUGUUUGCCCUUAGAGUAAUUUGUCUGCACUGUAAGUCUCAUGCUCCAAGCAAGGUCUUUAGGCUGAUGUAAGUGUGAUCUGAGGGCAAAGGAUGAAAUGAAAAAAGAAGAUCAUGAAUGAACCAGUGACUGAAGGCAAACAGAGAUUUUUUCCAUAAUUUCUGAAUACAUGUAUGCACAAAUUUCACGUUUGGUUGGUUGGUUGGUUUGGUUUGGAGGUUUUUUUUUUUAGUGGGAGGAGAAGCCAAAACAUCAGGGAAAUGAUAGGCAGUUUAGAUUCUGGUAUAACCAAGAACUGUUUGAUCACAUAAUUAUAGUUGCACUGAGUGAUGUUUUCUACCAAAGGAACGCGAAACAAGAAGUAAUGCAUUAGCAUUCUGCAAGUAAAAGUAACAGGACAGAUUGUGUUUUAGGAAGGAUGUUAACUGUGGUAAGAAAAGAAAACAGGCAUACACUGAUCUUUUGAUAGAAGCAGCAAAAUAAAGCUGACAGUCUUUCCUACCCUGGAAAAAAGUCGUCUGUUUGACAUAGCUC
rnacentral:lncRNA from 1 species